CCCUAUGGGGUGCGAGCGUUAAUCGGAAUCACUGGGCGUAAAGCGCACGUAGGCGGUGUCGUAAGUCGGAUGUGAAAGCCCUCGGCUCAACCGGGGAACUGCAUUCGAUACUGCGACGCUUGAGUGCCGGAGAGGGUGGCGGAAUUCCAGGGGUAGGAGUGAAAUCCGUAGAUAUCUGGAGGAACACCAGUGGCGAAGGCGGCCACCUGGCCGGCAACUGACGCGGAGGUGCGAAAGCGUGGGGAGCAAACA
rnacentral:rRNA from 1 species